GGGACCGUGGUGUGAAGGUAAGCGUGGUUGCCUCUCACCCAGUCGGCUUGGGUUCGAUCCCAGACGGUCCCG
rfam:Culex pipiens quinquefasciatus supercont3.1406 genomic scaffold, whole genome shotgun sequence.